rnacentral:rRNA from 1 species
AGACAGAGGUGGCAAACGUUACCCGGAUUUACUGGGCGUAAAGGACGUCUAGGCGGUUUGGUAUGUCGUCUGUGAAAGCCCCCUGCUAAACGGGGGGAGGCCAGACGAAACUGCCAGACUUGAGGGUCGGAGGGGGAAGCGGAACUACCAGAGGAGCGGUGAAAUGCGUAGAGACUGGUAGGAACCUCGAUAGCGAAGGCAGCUUCCUGGCCGAUUCCUGACGCUAAAGCGCGAAAGCGUGGGGAGCAAACCGGAUUAGAAACCCCGGUAGUCC